GUGUCAGCAGCCGCGGUAAUACAGGGGGCUCGAGCGUUAAUCGGAAUCAUUGGGCUUAAAGGGUGCGUAGGCGGGUCGCUAAGUGUCCUGUGAAAUCCCUUGGCUCAACCAAGGAAUCGCAAGGCAUACUGGCGAUCUUGAGGCAUGUAGGGGCGGACGGAACUGUAGGUGGAGCGGUGAAAUGCGUAGAUAUCUACAGGAACGCCGAUGGUGAAGACGGUCCGCUGGGCAUGUCCUGACGCUGAGGCACGAAAGCGUGGGGAGCAAACAGGAUUAGAAACCCUAGUAGUCC
rnacentral:rRNA from 1 species